rnacentral:rRNA from 1 species
GACGAACGCUGGCGGCGUGCCUAAUACAUGCAAGUCGAGCGAAUCAAUAGGAGCUUGCUCCUGUUAAUUAGCGGCGGACGGGUGAGUAACACGUGGGCAACCUGCCUGUAAGACUGGGAUAACACCGGGAAACCGGUGCUAAUACCGGAUAAUCCUUUCCUCUCAUGAGGAAAAGCUGAAAGUCGGUUUCGGCUGACACUUACAGAUGGGCCCGCGGCGCAUUAGCUAGUUGGUGAGGUAACGGCUCACCAAGGCUAUGACGGGUAGCUGGUCUGAGAGGACGACCAGUCACACUGGAACUGAGACACGGUCCAGACACCUACGGGUGCAGCAGUCGAGAAUUUUCUCAAUGGGGGAAACCCUGAAGGAGCGACGCCGCGUGGAGGGAUGAAGGCUUUUCGGGUUGUAAACUCCUGUCAUUUGGGAACAAGGUGCACAUGUUAACUGCGUGUGCAUUGAUAGUACCAGAAGAGGAAGGGACGGCUAACUCUGUGCC